rnacentral:piRNA from 1 species
GGAAAUCUAUUUUUUGAAGGACAC